GACGAACGCUGGCGGCGUGCUUAACACAUGCAAGUGGUGCGACGAACCAGGCUUCGGCCUGGGGCAGAGCCGCGAACGGGUGAGUAACACGUGGGCAACCUGCCCUGUUGAUCGGGACAACCCGGGGAAACCCGGGCUAAUACCGAAUGUGGUGCCGGCUCAUGAGAGCCGUCACGAAAGGAAGCUUCGGCCUCCGCGACAGGAUGGGCCCGCGGCCCAUUAGCUUGUUGGUGGGGUAAGGGCCUACCAAGGCAACGAUGGGUAACUGGUCUGAGAGGACGGUCAGCCACACUGGGACUGAGACACGGCCCAGACUCCUACGGGAGUCUGCAGUGGGGAAUCUUGCGCAAUGAGCGACAGCUUGACGCAGCAACGCCGCGUGGGGGAAGAAGGCUUUCGGGUCGUAAACCCCUUUCAGUUAGGAAGAAGCUUUAUUGGUUAAUAACCAAUUGGAGUGACGGUACUUUCAGAAGAAGCCCCGGCUAACUACGUGCCAGCCGCCGCCGUAA
rnacentral:rRNA from 1 species